GACGAACGCUGGCGGCGUGCCUAAUACAUGCAAGUAGAACGCUGAAGGAGGAGCUUGCUUCUCUGGAUGAGUUGCGAACGGGUGAGUAGCGCGUAGGUAACCUGCCUGGUAGCGGGGGAUAACUAUUGGAAACGAUAGCUAAUACCGCAUAAGAGUAGAUGUUGCAUGACAUUUGCUUAAAAGGUGCAAUUGCAUCACUACCAGAUGGACCUGCGUUGUAUUAGCUAGUUGGUGGGGUAACGGCUUACCAAGGCGACGAUACAUAGCCGACCUGAGAGGGUGAUCGGCCACACUGGGACUGAGACACGGCCCAGACUCCUACGGGAGGCAGCAGUAGGGAAUCUUCGGCAAUGGACGGAAGUCUGACCGAGCAACGCCGCGUGAGUGAAGAAGGUUUUCGGAUCGUAAAGCUCUGUUGUAAGAGAAGAACGAGUGUGAGAGUGGAAAGUUCACACUGUGACGGUAUCUUACCAGAAAGGGACGGCUAACUACGUG
rnacentral:rRNA from 1 species